rnacentral:rRNA from 1 species
UACGAAGGGGGCUAGCGUUGUUCGGAAUUACUGGGCGUAAAGGGCGCGCAGGCGGCCCUCCAAGUCAGGCGUGAAAGCCCCGGGCUCAACCCGGGAACAGCGCUUGAGACUGGGGGGCUUGAGUUCGGGAGAGGAGAGUGGAAUUCCCAGUGUAGAGGUGAAAUUCGUAGAUAUCGGAAGGAACACCUGUGGCGAAAGCGGCUCACUGGACCAUUACUGACGCUGAGGCACGAAAGCUAGGGGAGCAAACAGG